UCGGGUGUGGUGUAACGGUUAACAUUGCUGUCUUUCAAGAUAGUCGUAAUCUGACUACCAAGCGGCACAGCGGCCCCGGGUUCGACUCCCGGCAUCCGAA